GCCCGGGUUUGGGGGUGGGCUCGCGCCCCUCCCGGCCCGGCUUCUGCAACUUUGUACCUUCUCUGCAGUUUCUGGGGAGGACCGUAGAGAGUGCUCGGUGCUUUACCCUCGUGGUCCGGGAAGCUUAGGACUGGCGGGCUUCGGGUUCCCUGACUGAUUGGGCACAGUAACGUUUCAGUCCCUCCAAAAUGUUAAUAAAUGAAGCGCGCAUUGGUGUCUGCUGUAGAAUUGGUGUUGAAAACCUGGUAAAGUGGCUUCCCUGCUCUCUUUUUUUCUUGGACGAACUAGUGGGUGUGGUGCUAGAAGCAAGGGCGCAAAGAUGAAAAGCCCGAAGACCCUUUUCUCUUUUCACACUACGUUUGGAAGAGAACACUACCUCUGGAGCCCCUGGGCGGGGAGACCGACCCAGCCCAACCUGCCUUCCAGGGGAAGAAACUGAGGCAUGGAGAAUGGAGACUUGCCUGAGGUUGCACAGGUUAGGUGUGCUGGAACUGGGACCUGGAAGCAAUCUUUGACCUCUGCUCUCUCACGUGGUAGGUUCACCCUCAACGCCCUAUACUUGAAACCACCGGGCUCCUGCUCCCUCACUGUGGGCUGCUCUUCUUCACUUUUGGCCAUGUCCGUGCCCCUUCUCCUGUCUCUUCUUCUAGCCUCCUGUCUCUGGCCUCACCCACAUCCUCCCUGCCUCUCCCAGGGCCUGGAUGGGCCUCUCAGGGUAGGCGGCCUGGGUCUUGAAGACUUCCAACUGUGACCCAAGGCUCUGGAGGGGCUGCUCACUGCCUUUAUUGGUGCUAGUCAACGCGGAUGUUAUUUAUUGUCAAAUAAACGUAUUUCCAAAUAAAACAGAAAACAAGCAAAUAACUGUGGUGACAGAGCUGUAAAAAACCCUGCCAUCUCGCUCACUUGAAGAAAAGCAUGCGCAACUAAUUAACCCGGGCAGGCCUCCGUGGUGUUUGGAAACAAGCUUGGAAUUAAUACCGCCCUUCUCAGUAGCUGGAGCCAGCCUCUAAAUCUUGAUUGGGCAGCAGCAAGAGAGAGACACAGAGAGUUAUAGAGACAGUGAGCCACCAAGAUGGAAGAAGACAGAAAGACAGAGCAAGAUAAAUACAGUUAUCCAUCUGCCUCCAUACCCAGAUAUAUCAUCUUCACUGGACUCUAGAUUCUAGAAAGACAGACAGACAGAGUGAGAGGUAAGAGGAGGAAAUUGAGUCUUUGUUUAGCUCAGAGGACAUCUUCUGUCUAACACCACUAAAGUCAGAGAAUCACGGGCUUCUGGACUGGAAGGGGUUUAUGAGAGGUCAUCAAAUUCAGCGGUUUUAAAGUUAUUUUUAGCAGCAAAUCCCCUUCUUGAAGUGAAAUCACACACAGCAGUGUAAUGCGUAAAGCAGAUAAAAGUGCAGCGCUCCCGUUGGAGCUUGUUCCUCCUCGCAGCCCCUCCCUGCUUCCCUUCAAUGGGCAGGGGGUGUCCUCAAGAUGCUCAGGGCUGGGGACGGCACAGUUGGAAAACUACAGCUGCCUGGCCUCUGUGUGGCAGGGCUUUGGGAGUGUCCCUUGUUUUUCAGUGGAUUCAGGCUGAGCCUAAUUUGGAGUCACCAGGAGGGGGAGCGUGGUAGAGAGGACCCACCAGCUGGUGAAGGAGGUGGGCUACCUGGGGGAACACCUGCUCUCUUGCCCCUGAACCUAUUGGGUUCUUGAACUCCGAUGUUUACUUUCCCUGGUGACCUUUGUUGGCAGGAGUUGGGAAACAGGCUUGUUGACCUUCAAUGAUGGAGUCUCAGUGGAUGAGCUUUAUGAGUCAUCACUUCAUUCCAGCUUUGCCUCAAGGAGGCUUUGUAUAGCUUCAUGUCAAGUUCAGGAGGGGGCACCCAGAGCACGAGGAGGAUACCUCCCUUCUGUGGAAGAAUAUGGACUGUUGCUGGAAGGGGACUUCCCUAUAGGCCAUCCCAGUAUGCCCUGUUGGGAUGACUGGUGAUCUACAGGGAAAUCAUGCUCUGUAUAUUUCUUUCUUCUUGUAGAGGAAGGAGAGGCAGUGCCUGAGGCUGGAAACCAUCCAGUCCAGUGGCACCAUGGGGAUUUGUCUGGUCUUCUCUGGGGAGGUUGUCACUUGCUUCUGGAGGCCCUGUUCUUAGCAGAGUCCCGAGUUUGGGUGGAAAGACCUCUCUGGAAAGCAGUGGUGAGUACAGGAGAAGGGUGGAGAGAGCGAUACCAGGCACUGUGUUUGGAGCCUUCCCGUCUCCGAUUAACCCUGAGUGCCCUUGGCUCAGGCCUAGACAACAAGGGGCGCGGUAAGGAGGAGAAAACACAAAUCAAGAAGUACUGCUUUUUUUGAAAGAGAAAUUAUAAAUUGCAAUUUAAUCACAUAAUCACUUUGACACUCUCAAGCAAGCUAAUUUCUUCCCUUGCCUCAUUUCAUCUACUUGGUGAGAUGAAUCUUAAUGAAUAAUGUCCUAUGAAUAUUUAAUUUUUGAUCAAUUUGAAUUUUCUCUGGCAUACCUGCUAGAGACAUAAAUCAGCUCCUCUUCUACCCAGCAGAGUGAGUUUGGACAGCGGCUUUUGUGGAUCUGUGCCUAUGGCCACAGAAGUGGCCUGCCUGAAGGUUUUUGGGUUCUGGUUUGCCACUCUCUUAAUAUCAUUACUCACACCUCCCUGGACACCUUCUCUAAGCUGCGUUCUCUCAUACUGCCCCACCAGCAGGUGCCUGAAGCCAAUGGCUGCCCAGGUGGGUGAGAUGCAUCUGAAAAUGACUUUCUGUAGGUCCUCCCUCUUGCUCCAUCCUUUUUCUUCAAUCACUUAAAGAUGUCUCCCUCCUGAUACUAUCUUUCCUGGCCCCUGAGGACAGAUGUUAUUAUUUAGAAGACAAGUAUCUAAUAAGCAACAUUGGGAGAAGUACCAUUUUCAACUGUUGGAGAAGGAUUUUUUUGAGGAGAUAAUAUUUGAUACUUAGACAGUGUUGUACAGUUUGCAAAGUGGUUUCACAUACCUCGUUUAUUUUCAUGUCUUAAAACAUCCCUUUGUUUGAUCUCUCUUUCCUGACUCUGAUGUGAGGGAAUGGGGCUGGAGAGAGCUCUUUCUUACUCUGGGUCAAGAGGGUAAGUAUAGGAAUUUCCACCCUGGAAGGACUGCCAAGCUCAAAAACAUGGAAAUGGGUCCAAACAGAGCCACCUAUAAAGAGGGAAGAUUGAGUGGGACUGGGACCUGGAGGAAGAAAGAGGAGUAUCCUUAAUAGAUGUGGAAAAUGAGGCCUGGAGAGGAUAAGUGAUUUGCCUAAGAGGUACAGCCAGAGGUAAGCUCUGUUUGCUUACAUCCAAAGUCAGCGUUCUGCCAUCUGCAUUGAAGUGCCAUAAUGGCCCGAGUCUGCCUCCCUGUCCCCUCCAUCACUGGAGGAGGCAAUACACAAUCUGUCUUCCCUUUUCUACAUGUUUGCCUUAAGUAAAUUUGAGAAAGCUGUCAUGUCACUUUUAAGUUUUGUCUUCUUCAGGCUAAGUAUCCUCAACUAUUUGUUAAAUCAUAUGACAUUGUUUCCGGGCAUCUCAACAUCUUGGCCUCCCUCUUCUGGACAUGCUUGUUGGUUAAUGUCUUCAUGAUGUAUUGUAUUCUGUACCCUAGAUUCAGAACUUGAGGCAUUAAGAACCUCUCUUGGCAGUGUACUGUCAUGGUUUAAGAGCACAGGCUUUGCAGUUAGACUGAUCUGGGUUCAAAUACUGGCUAUACCCAAUUUGCUAGCUGUGUGAUUGCAGCAGAUUGCAAUUUCCAAAGAUGGGUGCCACAAUAUACCUCAUCCCAUUUGUUCUCCUUGCAAUGUGACAACGUUCUUUGUAUGAAGUGCUGGGGUCUGUGUUCCUUCCUGUUGAUCCUGGGCAGGCCUUUGUGACUGCCAUGACCAAUGAAAGGUGGCAGAAGUGAUGCUCUGUGACUUCCAAGGCUAGAUCAUAAAAAUGCCAUGCACUUCCACCUUAUUCUCUUUGGAAUUCAGUCAUAUUUUGUGAAGAAGACCAAAUUGACCCAAGUGGAAAGCCCAUAUCGAGAGGCUACGUGUAUGUGUUGAAGUCCUAGCCUAUAGCCACUGUCAACCACUGGAUAUGUACUUGUAGCGAGGAAGUCUUUGAGACUUUGAGCCACCGUCUGACUGUAACCUCAUGAGUGACCUCAAGUAAGAAUCACCCAGCUGAGCCAAGUCAAUCCCCAGAAUAAAAUUGUUGUUUUAAGACACUAAGUUUAGGGGUUACUUAUUAUGCAGCAAUAAUCAGAAUGGUGAUCUUAAGCUUUUCUCAAGCUCACUGAGCCUCAGUUUCUUUGUCUAUGGAAUGAAGACUGUGGAAUCUACCUUAGAGGAUUAUUAUGAGAAUUAGAAGACAAUGGAUAUAAACUACUCAACAUGUGUUUGCCACAUAAUGAUUGUACAACAAAUAAUUAAUUAUAAUUAAUGACAUCAUGAAUAAAAUAAGAAGGGGACCUCGGUUGAGACUUCAGAAGGAAGAUUGGGAAACCGAACUUGCUGUGGGGCAACCUCCGGGGACGAAGCUGAGAGCUGGGCCACAGGUUCCAGAUGCGCAGGGGUUGUGACAAGAUUCAGGCAGCAUCCAGCACGAGGAAGACGGUGCAGUGUGGGGAGGCCUUUGCUGCUUGCUAAGUGUGAGACAGCAACACUGAGACUGGAGGUGAGAAGGCAAGACCUUGGUCACACUCGCUGCUGGUUGUUGGGAGGGUGUGGCCAGGACACAGAAACCUUUUGCUGUAAAAUCAAGCAGAGCUGGGGAUUGGCCACUGGGCUGCCCCACAGCAAACCUCAGACGUGAGAGGGGUUUGUGCGAGCAUCCCAGAUAUUCGAGGUCACAGCUGGCAGAGUUAAUAAAGCAACAAGCUGGGGCGCCAGGGAGGAUGUGUGGUUAAAUUCAUGUGUGUGGUGUUUUCUUGUCCUUGGCCCCCCGCCUCAGAAGGCAAAGAGCUCAGGGUCUGAAAGGUACAGCCUGAUGAAGCAAGUGUUUGAAAAGUGCAGGCAACCGUGAACUCAAGUCUUAAAAAGUAAAACUCACUCCCCCCUCCCAAAAAAACCUACCACAACAAAACCCCGUACUCCACCCUCACGUAAUAUGUAUGCUCACUGUAGAAAAAUUAUACGAUAUAAGAAACAAAAAGAGCAAAAUAAAAAUUGCCCACGUUCCUACAACCCAGAGAUAAUCUCUGUUAACAUUUUUGUGUACGUGGAGCUUUCCAGAUGGUAUACGAAAAUAGAGCCAUACUGUGCAUACUGUUUGGUAAACUGCUCUUAUCGCCUAAUGAUAUGCCCUGGACAUCUUUCUAUGAUAUGAAAUAUGCAUCUGCAGUUCUGAGCUUUUCAAAUUGGGGACAUGUAGCCAUGUUCCAGGGCUUCUAUGAAGCUGCAGGAGAACCAUGGUUCAUCACUCCAGAGCAUCAACUUUACUCAGUGGUAAGUCACUUAAAAUAUCAUUUUUAUAUUAAAACAAACCCAGACAUAGUAUGGUGGAGGGUACAAAAUUUGCAUGAAUUUUUAGGAGAAGAUAUGAGACUUUAAAGAAAUGUCUGGCUUGCCUUAUUCUUUUGUACCAUCAUUUUAAACAGCAGGUAGCGUUAGCUCACAGGGAUCAGUGGAACAGGCUGAGUGAGAGGAGGAGGGGGGAGAGAUGUGACAAUUAAGGGGCAAUAGGUGCCAAGGGCCAUUUCACGAGGCACAGAGUCCCUCACCCGAGGAUCUGGAGAGCAACGUGGAUGUCUUGAUGUCAUGCUUGGCCUUUAGGGCCCAGGCCUGAGUGAGUGGCUUAAUUCUAAGUCAUACUUCCCCUACCCUCCCCCUCCGACCUGUUGGCAAAGAGCAGUUGUAGGCUGGGGUGGCAUUAGGUUAGGACAAUGUGGCUGUACCAGACAUGGCACUCGGAGCUAACCCAGUAACUCCAGAGGUGGACUGAAUCGUGCAUAGCUUUGCUAUUUCUGUCCCAGCUCUGCUAUUAAGAAGCUCUGUGACCACAGGCCACUUACUUACCUUCUCUUUGUUUCAGUUUUGUCAUCAAUAAACUAGUGAUAAAAGUAGCAGCUCAUAGGUUCAUUGGGGCAUUAAAAGAGUAAAGUACAAUUCUUAGAGUGUCACUUGGGACAUAGUAAGCAUUUACUAUAUGUUAAUUAUUAUUAUUAUGUAAUCUAUGAUUGCAUAAGCUGCUCAUGGUAAAUGUGUCCCACUCUUGUUUCAAACAGAGCUUAUGGCUAAUUGAAACUCUUAGAUCUUUUUCAUUGGAAUUGUUAUCAAGCUUAUAUUCUCCAUGCUGUUAUUAGUUUUUAAUUGUGUGGCUUAUUAAUGCUCAUUUUCUUAAUUGUGGCCUAUUAUUCUAGCCUGUGUUAGUUAUCUAACAACUAAGUCUUCCUUUCCAGAGUCACUCAGGUUUCAUGUUCUAAUGGCAUUUACAAUUUUAUGUCCCUAUUUUACAGAAGGAAAAACUGAGGGAAGGGAACUACUGCCUUCUGAGUGUGUCCUUUGUGCCAGACAUUGGGAUAGGUGCUUCGUAUAAGGCAUCUCAGCUAACCCUCAGAACAACUUAGAGAUGCAGGAUUUAUUAUGUCAUUUUAUAGAUGUGGAAGCUGCAGCUCAGAGUACUUGAGCAAAUUGCCCAAGGUUGCCCAGCUAGCUCAGCAUUUUUCUCUUGCAUCAUACUACCUCCUAGUUUUAGGUCAUCUGUAAACUAAAAUGGCAUGCUUCUAUUCAAGUUGUUGUUUUACAUGACAAAGCCAAAGACAGAGACAAAUCACUGGAGAACCCCUUCUAGGUAGGUCUAUGACUGUCACAUCAAUUCCUGAAUCAAUACUUUUUGUACAGGAUCAUUCAGGCACUGAAAAUGGAAUCAGAUGCUGCUAUUGGAAACUAAGGUCUGGAGCUUUGUAAGAGAUCAUAAAGAAACCCCCUUCCAUCACAUCUUUAAGGGAAGGACCCCUCGUCCCAGUUCUUUGCUUAUUCCCUCUCAGCUGAAGUCUGGAUGCUUAUAGAGUCACAUGUCCCGAAUCAAUCCCAGAAAAUGUUCCUUUUCAAGCUGAGUGUGAGAAGCUUUACACAGCAUCCUGGGAACUGUCAGCAUCUGCCUAUAUUUACUCUUGCUGUUGAUUAAAACUGAGAACUGGAGCACCAGGAGUCCAGACUGUAGGCACAGGACUGCUGAUAAGAGGAGAAGGAAUCAACAGCGGUUGCUGGACCAAAAGAAACCCAGCCCCUUCUUUCCCACAGUCACGACCCUAGGCUUGACCUAAGAGCAGUCAGGUCGGGAGAAGAGGAGGGGGAUUUGUCUACUGUAAAUUUCUUCCAGGAUGGUCUCUGCCCCAUUUUGGAUGGAAAGAAGCAGUGGGGUAGGUGGUGGUGUGGAGGCUGUGCCAGUGGGCUCUGGGACUGUGCCCAGGGGCCUGUGGGCUGCAGCAUUAAUUGCACUUUUCUCUAGGGGAGAAGGAAAUAGUGGUGGCCUAAACCCUGAACACUCCGAUUGACUCUUGGAUCUCCACUGAUUAGAGAGAGCUUGAGAAGAAUGAGAGAAAGGGGAGUCGGGAGAGGGUGUGUUUCAUCUCUGUCCACGGAAUGAUGGUUCCAUCUGAGCUUGUGGUCCCCAAACACCCCAGUUCCCAUCCCUGUGGCUACACGGGGGCAGGUGUAUACAGCAGGAUGCUUGGACCUGGAAUAAGCUUGAUCUACGACUCCUCUGUUUGACCCUUCUGGAGGUGGGAUGAUUAGGAUAGUAAUCCUGUGUCUUCUGAUAUGUCCUUCACAUAACUGCUCAAAAUCCUCCCAGGUCCUCCAUUCCACUUAGAAUAAAAUCCAAAGUGCUUCCUGUGGCCCCUGCGGCCCUGCAUGCUCUGGCCUUUGCCUCCCUCUCCAGCCUCACCUCCUACCACAUGCCCUACAGUAGCCUCCAUGCUGUGCUUUGAACAUGCCAAGCAUGCUCCUGCUUCAGGGGCUUCAUGCUUCCUGUUUCCUCUCUUUACAGUUGCUAGAUUUAGUCAAUAAACACACAGGAUGUCCAGUUAACACUGAAGUUCAGAUAAACAAUGAUUCAUUUUUAGCGUAAGUAUGGCCAGUGCAAUAUUUGUUUAUCUGAAUGUCAGAUCUAACUGGGCAUCCUGUACAUUGCCUGGCAACCCUAAGAGCUCUCUGGACAAUGUUCCCUCCGAUUCUCACAUGGCUCAUCCCCUCACUUCUCCAAGUCUCUGCUCUCCUCACCUUGUCUUGCUGUUGCAUCUACAAUCACAGCCCCAUGAAUCUACUCUCGCAGGCUGCCUCGUCUCCUUCAGAGCUCUUAUCACUAUCUGAUGUGCUAUUGUUUGUUUAUUCAUUCAUUUGUUGACUCUGUGUCUUCCCUGGCACAUGUGAACUCCAUAAGGGUGGGAUUUAAGUCUUCACUGUGGUAUCUUCUGUCUCUGGUGUCAUUGUGGGUGCUCGUAAACAUUUGCUGAGUGAUCAAAUGACAUUUUACCAUGGCUCACCCUUUGCGAUAUGGAUCUCAUCUUAGGCCACUCCCCUUUCCACGGGGCACUAGCCAGGCUGACCUCAUGGUCGGUCCUCCAACAUGCUAAUCCCAUUCCUGCCCCAUGGCCUUGGGACUUGCUGCCUGGCAUAUGGCUUCUUCUCCUCUCCUCUUACAUCUCAGAGAAGGCUUCCCUGACCUCUCUAUCUAUCUAUCCUUUCUAACCCUCUGACCCUAGACCUUUCAUUCACAAGACUAUUUUAUUUCCUUUAAUACUCAUAUCGCUCUAGGAAAUCACAUAUUUAAUGACUGGUUGGCUUUUUCUUGUUUGUCUCCUACAGACAAGAAUGUAAGUUCUGGAGACAUCAACCAUGUGUGACUUAUACAUCACUGUGUCCCCAGCACCUAGCCCCAUGACUGGCAUAGAAUAUGAAACCAAAAAAUAUAUGUUGACUGAAUGAGUGAGGCAGUGAUUUUGGGGUGGGCACUGAGACCCAGCUUUGCAGGAGCAUUGAGAACUGCAGUGAGGGAGAGGAUUGAGCCCAGGAACCAGCCUGGAGUGGGUUCCACCAGGAAGCUGGCUUGCUCCUCGCCCCACAGUGACCAAGUGUACUUAAUUAGCAGAGCUGAUUACGGAUGAGGGAGUCUGGAAAGGAAUUCCUAGCUCUCUGCUUCUCUCGGCCUCCUUGGCAGCUAGGAGAGGCCAUCUCCUUCCCACUGGAAAAUGUCCCUUCAGGCCCAGAGAGUGAGAGUGCCUCCUCCAUGUUUUGUGUCCCCAUUUGUCACUUGCUGCAGAUGAUAAGACCCAAAGGGAUGAUGACACCCCAGUGACCUUGGAGGCUGCCAUGUAAGCUGGCAGCCUGGCUCCCCAAACGAUGAUGGGGGACGUGAACAUCCUCCUUGGGGUGUCACAUGAGAAAGAAGCCAGCUUCUUGUGUUUUCAAUCACUGAACUUUGGUGGUUUGUUACUAAAGUGGAACCUAGCUAAUUAAUAUAUGGCUGUAUCCACUGUGUCUACUAUAUAGAAAGUGCUCAAUAAAUGUGUUGUUGAGCUCCCUGGGGAGGAAGAUCUGUUUAUUCCUGCAAAUGAAACAGAAUUGUAUUAACUAAAGGGGACUAGCUGUGUUUUCUUAUUUGCCCAGAUAGUGCUCAUGUCCUUCUUAACCCCCUAAGGUCAUCAAACUCACUGUGCAUGGGUCCCUCUCUCUGGGUUUAGCAAGGAACAAACAUAUAAAGCGGUGUCCUUUGAGGUACAAGCAAAGAGGAGUUGAUGAGGGACCCCUACAGUCAGAGAGAGGCAGCUAUAAUGGUCUCCCGCUCUAUCUAUGUCACCAAUAAGACACCCUGGGGGUAGAUGCCACAGUAUGAUUGGCUGCAUCUAUAAAAGAUUCCUGUGACGAAUUUCCAGGGAUUCUUUUGAUGGAAAUUCAUCUUAGCAGGUUGGUGCUAGAUCUUCCUGGAUCAACUGCUUUUUUUGACAUACCUCCACUCUCAGUCUGGUUCCCCGGCUCCUUUGUUCAAUGACCCUUGGAAUUUCUAUAGCCUGAGGCUUAGUAGCACACUCUUAAUUCAGUUCCUUUUAAGAGUUUUUGCAUGAAGCUUGACAAUUUUCUUCAUGCAGAGUCUUCAUCUGCCCUUACAGUGGACCUUGAUCUUGCUUUCACAGCUGCCACUACACUUGGGCACUGACAAAUCUC